GAUGAACGCUGGCGGCGUGCCUAAUACAUGCAAGUCGAGCGAAUGGAUUAAGAGCUUGCUCUUAUGAAGUUAGCGGCGGACGGGUGAGUAACACGUGGGUAACCUGCCCAUAAGACUGGGAUAACUCCGGGAAACCGGGGCUAAUACCGGAUAAUAUUUUGAACUGCAUUGUUCAAAAUUGAAAGGCGGCUUAGGCUGUCACUUAUGGAUGGACCCGCGUCGCAUUAGCUAGUUGGUGAGGUAACGGCUCACCAAGGCAACGAUGCGUAGCCGACCUGAGAGGGUGAUCGGCCACACUGGGACUGAGACCCGGCCCAGACUCCUACGGGAGGCAGCAGUAGGGAAUCUUCCGCAAUGGACGAAAGUCUGACGGAGCAACGCCGCGUGAGUGAUGAAGGCUUUCGGGUCGUAAAACUCUGUUGUUAGGGAAGAACAAGUGCUAGUUGAAUAAGCUGGCACCUUGACGGUGCCUAACCAGAAAGCCACGGCUAACUACGUGCCAGCCGCCGCGGUAA
rnacentral:rRNA from 1 species